rnacentral:rRNA from 1 species
UACGUAGGGGGCAAGCGUUGUCCGGAUUUACUGGGCGUAAAGAGCGUGUAGGCGGCCACGCAGGUCCGUUGUGAAAACUGGAGGCUCAACCUCCAGACGUCGACGGAAACCGUAUGGCUAGAGUCCGGAAGAGGAGAGUGGAAUUCCUGGUGUAGCGGUGAAAUGCGCAGAUAUCAGGAAGAACACCAAUGGCGAAAGCAGCUCUCUGGGACGGUACUGACGCUGAGACGCGAAAGCGUGGGGAGCGAACAGG